CUUGACUUCGAGGAGCAACACAUUGCACGCGGUGUGGUAGCCUUUUCUGAGGUUUUUGAGGACUUUGCUGAUUUUUGAAGCUUUUCCAAAACUUCUUUUGCAGCCGUUUGGUAAGUUAAACUUUGAAAACUUUGUGGGGGGGUUUUGGAGGUUGGGUGGGGGUGUUUGGAAUUCAAGGACUUGGUGUUGGGGAGAGGUUUGCAAUAAUUUGGGUGCUUGUGUGGUUUUUUCUGCAUUUUUAUGAUUUUUUGUGACCAUUGGGCCACUCUGCUGUUUUUUUUUUAAAAAAAUCUGGGUUUGAAUUUCUGUGUGGUGGGUGGCUGGGGGAACAGUUGAGGAGGGGUUUGCAAGAAUCUGGGAGCUUGUGUGGGUUUUUUUGAAUUUUUAUGAUUUUCUGUGACCAUUGGGCCAUGUUGUUUUUUUUCAAAAAAAAAUUCUGAGUUUGAAUUUCUGUGUGGUGGGUGGCUGGGGGAACAGUUGGGGAGGGGUUUGCAACAGUUGGGGAGGGGUUUGCAACAGUUGGGGAGGGGUUUGCAACAGUUGGGGAGGGGUUUGCAAUUUCUGUGUGCUGGGUGGGUGGCUGGGGGAACAGUUGAGGUUUUUGAAGACUUUGGUGAUUUUUAAAGCUUUUCCAAAACUUCUUUUGCAGCCAUUUGAGGAUUUUGAAGACUUUGGUGAUUUGCAGCCAUUUCGUAAGUUAAACUUUUAAAACUUUUUGGGGGGUUUUUGGAUUUUGGGUUGGGU